rnacentral:lncRNA from 1 species
UUUUAAGCCUAAGAAUUUAACUUUGUUUUGUCAAAAGGUUCUCGAUUACAAGAAACGAUAGUUAAGCAAAGAUAGAUUAAGAUAGACAUUUCGAAGAGAGAUUCGAUAUUGAAAGAGUGAAGGAGAAAGAUCCUUAACCACCAGUAAAAACAACGAAUAAAAACACCAGAGCAAUUAAAAUGAAAGACUUAGAAACUUACCAGAAGCAGAUUUGAAGCAGUCAAAGAAAAAAAGAUGGGAAAGAGUUUAAAGCAGAUUCGAAGUGAGAGCUCUGCUUGUUGUUAUUCAACUUUUGAGCACACUUGAAC